AUGCUCGCUUCAGCAACACAUAUACUAAAAUUGGAACUAUACAGAGAAGAUGAGCACAGCCCUUUGUGCAAGGAUGACAUGCAAAUCCAUGAAGCGUUCCAUAUUUGU
ensembl:snRNA U6 U6 spliceosomal RNA